GCUGGGCACGGUGGCGCGUGCCUGUAAUCCCAGCUACUCGGGAGGCUGAGGCAGGAGAAUCGCCUGAACCCAGGAGGCGGAGGUUGCGGUGAGCCGAGAUGGCGCCAUUGUACUCCAGCCUGGGUAACAAGAGCGAAACUCCGUCUCAAAAAAAAAAAACCAGAGUCUCGUUCUGUCGUCCAGGCCAGAGUACAAUGGUGCGAUCUGUGCUCACUGCAGCCUCCACCUCCCGGGAACAAGCGAUUCUCCUGCCUCAG
rnacentral:sRNA from 1 species